rnacentral:lncRNA from 1 species
UUGUGUAUGUUUCCCGACCUCUUCUCGAGACCUUGGGGCUCAGGUCCUGGUGGCCGUCGGGGGUCUAGUCUCCUGUGAUGUAGGAAAGAAGGAACUAGAGCGCCUAGCUCCCUAUCUCUGCUCCGCUUUUUACAAACGGUACUAAAUUCCUGGGAAGUUUCGGGAGGUACACGUCGGCACUCCCCAGCUAAUCUCUGAGAACUUUUAAUUCGGGGCCCUGGUGUACGUAAAGGUUAGUCCACGAGGUGCGCAGAAGGGACAAGGGCUACUAGGCCAGUCGCGCUCUCCGAGUUCUGGUGUCCUGUUUGCUCUGAGCUUUCCCUGGAGAACUUCAGCGAGAUGCUGUCUAAGGAAGACAAGUUAGCAAAUAAAUUGGCUAAGUAAGAGUCCAGCCUGUGAACGGCCUCCAAGCCUGAGCCCAGAGAAGACCGAGCCCCGGCACGAACCUGAUUCCUGCUGCGUGUGUGUUUUUUUAUAUUUGCCAAACACGAGGUUGUCCUUGUGAAUUUCCCUGCACAAUAGCUGACACCCGGGAGAGGGUGCGCGGGCCCCGGCGCCGCUGGGACAGAGACUGGCUUUCCAACCAGAGGAGAGAAUGGAUAGUGAAAUUUUUUUCUUGUCAGUUAACUUCAAAAUAAAACAAAACUGUUUGACCCGUGGAGUUUAUUCAGACGGAAAGCCAGGUUGCCUGACUCGUCCAGUUUGCAAUUUUCCCAGCGCAUCGGCUUUGGCCCCGGAGACAACACCCCCAGGGAGAGGCACAUUUUCAAAGCCACCCUUCACCGGCCCCAGGCCCGGGGCUCUGAUCUCCCUGAGCGCCUCAGUUGGUCCCGGAAAGCGAGGAGAAGAGGGGGUGCAGAGGAAGAAGUGCACCCAAAGAGCUGGCGAAGGCCCCCAUAGUGUUCCAGAGACGUCAGGUGGUGACGGCGGAAGCACUGAAAAUGCGCAGCCUAGA